CACAGAGUACAGGUGACUACCUCAAACCCCUGUGCUCCCAGUUUUAAGUGAAAACGGGGCACUGUGCUGGCAGUGCGCAAUGGUUCUCACUCAGCCACAGUGCUGCAUGACCCUGAGGCCCCCUUUCAGUACUGGAAGGCUGCUAUGAGGUCUCCAGGUGCCUUCUCCAGGCUGAACAAGCCCAACUCUCUGAGCCUGUCCUCGUAUCAUCUUCAUGGCCCUACUCUGGACUCACUAUAAAAGAACCAUGCCCUUCUUGUGCUGAGGACUCCAGAACUGAAUGCAGGACUCCAGGCUUUUUUAAAUAACUCCCCGGGUCUCCAGCAGCUUGGCUAAAGCAUUAAGCGGCUGGCUUUGUGACUCCUAGUGCUCGUCUCAGACUGCACCCGGGGCUCUGCUGACCCUGCAGGGAGGACAAUGCCAGCACAGCAGGAGCAGGGAAGAAGGAACAC